AACUCCCUCCUGGUAUCCAGGGCAGAGAAGGUGCUGGCUGCCAAGGGCUGCUAUGACCCAAGCCACCCAUGUGCUGGCUUCAAAGGCCAGGGAGUUGCCUGGUGGGAAAGAUGUGGACCAGGACAGACCCAGCAGAGGCAGGUGCCAGUGGCCGGUGGUGGAUUGGGCACAGAGCUGCGGGGAUAACCUGAAGAGUGCAGAACAGCAUCUGCCCCAUCCCCUCUGGUGGAAACAUCGCCCCUGCUUCUCUUGCCCUUUGCUGGAACAUGAGUCACCGAGCAAGGCCGCUGCAAGGAGUCAGGGAACAGGAACAGCAUCUGCCCCAUCCCUCGGGUGGAAGCAUCGCCCCUGCUUCUCUCGCCCUUUGCUGGAACGUGAGUCACCGAGCAAGGCCGCUGCAAGGAGCCAGGGAACGGGGUGAGUGUCCAGCCUACCCGACUCUUCCAACACCCCCUUCUUCUGGCGACGGUGUGUAACAGCAAAAG